AUGGUAGAGAUUGUAUUGAAAAAGGUACAAGCAUUUUCAGAAACAUGAUCGAACCAAAAGAAAACAUGAUCCUCAUCUUUUGAUUCCAACGCUUCCACUUUUCCAGCCCAUUCACUUUUCUCCAUCAACUCUUUGUAAUGCAAACCCCUGUCCCGCAAACAAUCUUUCUCCGCAACAACAACAAGGAUCUUGGAACACCCCAAACCCGAAAGAUUCGGGUCCUUUUCCGGGUUAAACCUCGGGUCAUCCAGCCCACUCCCUGACGUCCCCACUUUCCAGAAUUGAUCCGUAAACGCUUUCAACUGCUUAUUUUUCCCAAGUUCCGAUCCAAUCGGGUCACUUCCUCCGAAAUGCGGGUGGAGCAGAAUAAUACCCAGGAGGUUUAUUCCACCAAUCGGGUCUAACCCGAACCGGAUUGCCAAGUUAUGGGCGAUAUUCGCCCCAGCACUAUCUCCUGCGAAAAACACCUUGCUAAAAUCAGCAAAUUUAUUCAACCACGGGUCAGGACCAUGUCCUGACUCAUGGGAAGCAACCCACUGGGCCGCUUCCCAACAGUCGUUGUACCCGACUGGAAGAGGAUACUCCGGCGCCAGCCUGUAGUCAACGGAAACGGCAAUCACGUUUGACUUCGCCGUUAGAUGGUUGAGUGUAGGGUGGUAGUUAGGACUCGUGGUGGAUUCGACUACAAAACCACCUCCGUGGAAGUAAAUCAGAACCGGGAGUUUCUGGUUUGGGGUGGCGGUUUUGGGAAUGUAAAUUCUUGCGGACAGGUUGGUUUCGGGUGAGAUGACGACGUCUUUUGACUCGACUCCGGUUGAAGAAUCGAUUCCAGCAGGCAACUUGUUGUUUCCAAUUAAUCUUUCGCAGCGGCCAUCUUUGUGCACUCUUAUGAAACCAAUGAUUUCGUGAAGAUAUUCAUCGGAUGUUGAUAUCUCUCCCGACCCGAACACAGAAGACAUUUUUCUUAGAUGUUGGUAGUUAAUAUGAUAUUAGCUUGCUGAUAUUUGACUAUAUAACGAACGUGUUUUUCUUAUCAAGUGAAAUAUAAAAGAAGGCACUAUUGCCGCAACCUUUUGUUUACUAAAAUAGUAAAACCCCAAAAUUUGUUUCUUUUUUGUCGUUUGUAUGUAACCCACUAAACAUUCAUAUUGAAUUGAAUUCAUAUACAAUAUAUAAUUUUGU
rnacentral:lncRNA from 1 species